rnacentral:rRNA from 1 species
CAAUAGCGUAUAUUUAAGUUGCUGCAGUUAAAAAGCUCGUAGUUGGAUUUCGGGUGGGAAUGGCCGGUCCGCCGUUUCGGUGUGCACUUGCUACGCCCACCUUGCUGCCGGGGACGUGCUCUUGAGUUCACGCUCGGGACACGGAGUCGGCGAGGUUACUUUGAGUAAAUUAGAGUGUUCAAAGCAGGCCUACGCUCUGAAUACAUUAGCAUGGAAUAACACGAUAGGACUCUGGCCUAUCUUGUUGGUCUGUAGGACCGGAGUAAUGAUUAAGAGGGACAGUCGGGGGCAUUCGUAUUUCAUUGUCAGAGGUGAAAUUCUUGGAUUUAUGAAAGACGACCUACUGCGAAAGCAUUUGCCAAGGAUGUUUUCAUUAA